rnacentral:rRNA from 1 species
UACGGAGGGUGCAAGCGUUGUUCGGAUUUAUUGGGCGUAAAGGGCGUGUAGGCGGUUCGUUAAGUCUGAUGUGAAAGCCCCGGGCUCAACCCGGGAAGUGCAUUGGAAACUGGCGAACUUGAGUACGGGAGAGGGCAGUGGGAAUUCCUAGUGUAGGAGUGAAAUCCGUAGAUAGUUAGGAGGAACACCGGUGGCGAAGGCGGCUGCCUGGACCGAUACUGACGCUGAGACGCGAAAGCGUGGGGAGCAAACAGG